rnacentral:rRNA from 1 species
GAUGAACGCUGGCGGCGUGCUUAACACAUGCAAGUCGAACGGAAAGGCCCAAGCUUGCUUGGGUACUCGAGUGGCGAACGGGUGAGUAACACGUGGGUGAUCUGCCCUGCACUUCGGGAUAAGCCUGGGAAACUGGGUCUAAUACCGGAUAGGACGAUGGUUUGGAUGCCAUUGUGGAAAGUUUUUUCGGUGUGGGAUGAGCUCGCGGCCUAUCAGCUUGUUGGUGGGGUAAUGGCCUACCAAGGCGUCGACGGGUAGCCGGCCUGAGAGGGUGUACGGCCACAUUGGGACUGAGAUACGGCCCAGACUCCUACGGGAGGCAGCAGUGGGGAAUAUUGCACAAUGGGCGCAAGCCUGAUGCAGCGACGCCGCGUGGGGGAUGACGGCGUUCGGGUUGUAAACUCCUUUCGCUAGGGACGAAGCGUUUUUGUGACGGUACCUGGAGAAGAAGCACCGGCUAACUACGUG